rnacentral:lncRNA from 1 species
UUUCUAGGAAAAACACACUUUCCGUGCGAACCCUACUCUGGUAUAUAAAAUACCGCUUGGUCGGACAUUGAAUCUUUAAUCGAUUAGAGGUUAAAUCAUUGAUAUGCUCCGUUUUGAAAUGUUUUGUUUGCUUAAAGCCUUUGGGGGGUUAAUGACCAUGUCCCGGAUAUCCAUGGCAUCAUUUACGAAAUGGCCACGACCUAAGCACGGGGUGUAGGCGUACACCCGUCAGUGCCAAAGAUAAAUAAUGUGGUGUGUCUAUUGAUCUUUAACCCGGUCUACGGAUCGGGCUACUGAACGCAUAAGGAACAUGUAAUUCUUUUACAAGAUUAUAUACAAAUAAUUAUCCCAAGUUAUAAAAAGUUUGUGCCUCGUGCAUUCAAAUCAAUUUUAUUAAACUUUUCAAAAUGAGUCGGUUGAAUGUAUUUACCAAGGUAAACUGACGUAUUUUCUCAAAAAGGUUAAGUGCAGGUACUACGCGAACUAGGCUGGCUUUCUCCUAGCGUCCACUAUAAGUCUCGCAAGCUUGGAUGUCAAAACUGUUGAACAAUGUUUCCUAUUUAUUUUUGAUCCACCUGUGGAUUAACUUCAACUAUUUGUGAUACUUGAUAUUACAAUUAUAUUCGGUUGAAAUAUAUCUAUCUUUUGCUUCCGUUGUGCAUUUAAAUAUUGUGUUGUUUGACUGUAAUGUUACCAACUAUGUCACGAUAAUCCCCCACUGGGCCCACCGGUGAAACGUGGAAAUGUCGGGGUGUGACAAUUGAGGAUGAGGUUAAUAGCAUGGUGCACAAGGGAGAAGAUAUUCUUAUGUUUAUAA